UAAGCGGCUACGUGCUCAUGUCAAAGGUCAUUGGGGAAAAGUCGCUUACGCUAUUGCGGAUACAUAACUUCAAGAAAAAGAUAUUUCGGAAGAUUUUAACGUAACCAUGCACCGUUUUGAAGGUGGCGCUCUGGUGGACUUGAAAGCGGGCACAGUCCAAGAGCAGGGUAAAGAAGUGCAUGCUGAGACUCCUAAGCGAUGAGCUGUCUCAAUGCGGAAAAGAACAGAAACAACAUGGACACAGGGGGAUCCUAACCUAAACAAAAUUAAAUUUGAAUCCAAAUAAAAUGCUCGAAAACAAUAAAAUAA